rnacentral:rRNA from 1 species
UACGGGGGGGGCAAGCGUUGUUCGGAAUUACUGGGCGUAAAGGGCUCGUAGGUGGCCAACUAAGUCAGACGUGAAAUCCCUCGGCUUAACCGGGGAACUGCGUCUGAUACUGGAUGGCUUGAGUUUGGGAGAGGGAUGCGGAAUUCCAGGUGUAGCGGUGAAAUGCGUAGAUAUCUGGAGGAACACCGGUGGCGAAGGCGGCUUUCUGGACAAAUACCGACGCUGAGGCACGAAAGCUAGGGGAGCAAACAGG